rnacentral:ncRNA from 1 species
AAGGAGUUUGAUUCUUGCUUAUUAUAGUGGAAAUUUAUUUUAUAUGUGAUAAUUAGAAUUUUUAAACUAUAAGUUUAAAAAAAAGAUGCGAGCAGUAGUUGAUAUUAUAAAUAAAAAUAUUUUUGAUAUAGUAUUAUUUCUGAAGUUGAAUAAGAAUGUGCCAGCAUUUGCGGUUAUACAUUUGACUUUAAUCUAUUGUGUUGAUUUUCAGUUAAUAUUUUCUUGAUUUUUGAUUAGUUUGUAGGUGAAAUUUUAAUGGUAUUAAAUAGGAUUGAUUCUGGUUAAUCCUGUAAGUGGACUAGGAUUAGAUACCCUAUUACUAGGGAAAAUAUAAUGGGGAAAGAGUGAAAGAGAAAAGAUAUGUAAUGUUAAGGUAGUAUUAAUUAUGUUAUUUGAAACUUAAAGAAUUUGGCGGUGUCUAUGAUCUGUUUAGAGGAGUCUGUCAGUUAAUUGAUAUUCCGCGUUGAAACUUACUUUAUUUAAGAGUUUAUAUAUCGUCGUAGAGAUAAUAUUAAUAGGUUAUUUUUUUUUUCAUUAAGAUAAUUUCAGAUCCAGGUGUAGCUAUAAUGAAGUGGUGAUGGAUUACAAUAAGUGUUUAUAACGGAUGAUUGGAUUGGAAAAAUGAUUGGUUUGAAGGUGGAUUUGAGAGUAAUUUUUUGUAGAUUGUUAGGGUGAAUGAUGCUCUGAGAUGUGUACAUAUUGCCCGUCACUCUCAUUUAAGAUGAGAUAAGUCGUAACAUAGUAAUUGUAUCGGAAGAUGUAGUUGGUUUAUU